ACGCUGGCGGCGUGCUUAACACAUGCAAGUCGAGCGAUGAAGCUCCUUCGGGAGUGGAUUAGCGGCGGACGGGUGAGUAACACGUGGGUAACCUGCCUCAUAGAGGGGAAUAGCCUUUCGAAAGGAAGAUUAAUACCGCAUAAGAUUGUAGUACCGCAUGGUACAGCAAUUAAAGGAGUAAUCCGCUAUGAGAUGGACCCGCGUCGCAUUAGCUAGUUGGUGAGGUAACGGCUCACCAAGGCGACGAUGCGUAGCCGACCUGAGAGGGUGAUCGGCCACAUUGGGACUGAGACACGGCCCAGACUCCUACGGGAGGCAGCAGUGGGGAAUAUUGCACAAUGGGGGAAACCCUGAUGCAGCAACGCCGCGUGAGUGAUGACGGUCUUCGGAUUGUAAAACUCUGUCUUUAGGGACGAUAAUGACGGUACCUAAGGAGGAAGCCACGGCUAACUACGUGCCAGCCGCCGC
rnacentral:rRNA from 1 species